UACAUAUUUAUUAUCAAUUGCACAAUUGCUUUAUGUAGUUCUAGUAAAAUGUUACUUCAAGUGUAAAAUAUGUCUAGUUAAGAGCAAAUCACACAUGCUAAUAAACAAAAUUGACACAAGCCAUUAUUUACUGAGCUUAAAGCUGGUGUUUGCUGAAAAUCCUCAAGUCAUUUCAUUUUUGCUGAAGACUCAUAUUUAAGUAAUUGUGGAACAGACAUUCAUUACUGUCAAGCCACACUUCUCUCUGCCUUUAUGACAAAGAAAAUAGCCUAGCAUUAAGUUCAUGUUCUACAGAAUUAUUUCUCAUUAGGGAAGAAAAGUCAGAGAGAGUUCUAAGAAUCCUGGACUAAAUGUAAAAGCAAUGCAUCAGUACUGUCUGAUAUGUUAUUUAUAAACUGGCCUGAAAGGUAAUCAUAUUUUAGCAUACUUGCUUUUAGCCUGUUCAUCUAGCUUUAUCCUAUCCCCUUGAUAGAAAUACAUUGCUGAUAUAAGUUUCCUUGGUUUGUUUAAAUAUUGAGGUCUGUUUAACAACCACUUUUGU
rnacentral:lncRNA from 1 species